rnacentral:rRNA from 1 species
AUUGAACGCUGGCGGCAUGCCUUACACAUGCAAGGUCGAACGGCAGCACGGGAGCAAUCCUGGUGGCGAGUGGCGAACGGGUGAGUAAGUAUAUCGGAACGUGCCCAGUUGUGGGGAUAACGUAGCGAAAGCUACGCUAAUACCGCAUACGAUCUAUGGAUGAAAGCGGGGGAUCGCAAGACCUCGCGCGAUUGGAGCGGCCGAUAUCAGAUUAGGUAGUUGGUGAGGUAAAGGCUCACCAAGCCGACGAUCUGUAGCUGGUCUGAGAGGACGGACCAGCCACACUGGGACUGAGACACGG